AGGUAAACGACAGGCAGGGAGGAGUUUUGACCUUCUCUGUGCAGCCUCCCCCAUCAAAGGUCAUGGCAAAAAGAGACAGACAGACACGGACAAAACUUCACGGAAAACUUCAGACAUAAGGCAUCAAGUUUACCUACGCUUCAGGCCUUGUGUGCGGUGUCAGGACAGGCAGACGGUGUAACGGGGAGAACAGGUGCCAGGGGAGAGGGGGAUGGAAGACCAGCCUCUCUCACACGACCCUCGCCCCAGCCUCCCGCGGGACCUGCACUCUGAACACGGUGCUGGUGCUGUCGUUGUCAUCGUUGUUCAGUGUUGAAGACUAAGAAAAUACAGAAGCACACGCAGACUCACCACUGAAUAAAAGUAAAGAAAAGUUCACACCCACCGGAAUGGAAUCUCGGCUCAGAUCAGUGUUAGGAGGACCUCGGGCGGCGGCGAGGGUGGAAGUGUCAG